GAAUACCUGCGGUGUUCGAGAUCCAAGUAAUUCAACCGACAUUUUGAGUAAGGGAGUUCGGAGUUUCUCUAGGGAUGGAAUGCCUGUUUAACAGGACUUCAAAACUGGAGAACAGAACACCCACCUGCAAACCAGCGGGCGUGAAUUAGAAGGAUUACGGCACUGUGGGUUUUAA
rnacentral:other from 1 species